AGUUCUGCAAACUAAUCCAAUAGUGAAAUGUGUAAGAAAUGUCUCAUCUCACUGCUAGGUGGAUUAAAUCGGUUUUUAUUAUUCAGUCCACUAUGUCCGAGAGUUUUAUAAUUCCAGUGCUGUGAUUAUUCUCGAACUGAAACAAAGGAACACUUGGGUUUUUUGAUGUUCCUGGAAGUGCUGGGAACUCCUUCUCUGAGCUUAAUCCUCCGAGACCAGGAGCUAAUUGCUUUGGUUUGGUUGCAACACUUCCAAUAGAUGUCACUUUCGGAGCCCCGUCAAGGUACAUCUUCUGGCCUUUACAAGGAACUUUAGGAGAGGAAAUGUUCCUCCUCUUCUUAUAACUUCUAGACACCCUAGUAGAUGUUCCCUCUUGUGGGUUACCAGCCUCGCCCUCGUCAGGAGGCAAGUGAGCAUAGAUGUUUGUUGAGGAUGUUGGCGUAGCAUUCUUUAACAUUUCUGCGAAAGAAUGUGGAUUGUCCCGCAAGGGAACGUUUCAGCUUAUCCCCGCGUAGUUUGUACGCGGCACAUGCCGAUAUAUCAUGCAGACUCUCCGCACAAUAAGGACACUUUUCGGCUUGCUUACUGCACGAAUCAUCUAGAUGAUUCUCCCCGCAUUUUCCACAGCGGGCCUUAUUGCUACAAUGGGUGGCUGUGUGACCCAAUUGUUUACACUUUGUUCAAUUCAUGACCCGCGGCACAAACAGACGCACAGGCAGACGAACCUUGUGCAAGAGGACGAAAUUUGGCAAAGCGGUACCAGCGAAGGUCACACGAUAAGAGUUUGAUUGGGGGUACGUUUUUGAACCAUCCCCCGCAACUACUACUGAGUGCAAACGUUUGCACUCAAGUAUUUUCACUGGCUGAAGUAAGCGGUCUCCAAAACGGUCAGCAUAUUCUCGCACGUCAAACUCUCAUCGGUGACGACGCCUUCGGAUUGUACCUUUACAGCUGGAAUAUACACGUUAUAAUCCCGCAUAAAGUUCUCACAGCAAGCAAUAUCGUUUGCCUGCUUUGAGUUGGCUAGCAACACCCUUACCUUGUCCGAGUGGACCUUUGAAAUUUCGGUCACAGCCGAGAACCGUUCUGUCAGGUCUUGUUGAAGAAGAUUCAGUGAUUUAGUCUUGGGCCGAAAGAAGACCACAAAUGGACCAGUUGAGAGUUCUGGAUAGCAUUUGGGCCAGGGGGGAGCCUUAGAAGCUUAUACAGCUGGCUAUUGUUUAAUUCUCACACGCGAACAAAAGACUGAGGACCGAACCAAACUGGCUAAAUAACCUUGAAUGCGGAUUAGCACUACACUUUAUCGCCACACACAGCACUACGGACUAGAAAAAACAACUUCUGUCUCGAUGAAGAGCCCGAAAACGAGUGCAAAUUUAAGUUGUUUGAAAGACAUUAUAGCGAAAUUUUUACCUUUUUUGCUUUCAUCGGAGUAUCGGUUUGAAUCGGAAUUUGCUAUGUGAUCGCACGCCACAACCUGUAACUCCGGAACCGGAAGUCGGAUCGUGAUGAAAUUAAAUAGCCAUUUACGGGGGCGCAACAACUUUCAUUUGAGACUAAGUUUGGUUGAAUCGGUCAAGCCAACUCCGAGAAACCGAUGUGACUGUUAUUCUGAAUUUGGAUGCUUCCGCCGGGGCUUCCAGAACCGAUGAUGGUGACCAAUGUGGCCAAAGAGACUUUGAAUGGCUGUUAAUGACCUAAUACUACAAAUCGAAGCAGUUGUGGUCAUAUUUUGGAAAAUGUUUCACCUUUAUACAUUCAUUGCAGAAUUUAAGCUUAAGCCCUUUGCGAUUAAUAACGCACACCUACGCCCGCGAUCAACGAACGUUUAAGCACUUACGAAGUUACAAACGUCCGUUGCGGUCACGUCCGGAAACCGUUACCCUCUGUCCUAAUAACUUAGAUCAAUACAUUCAGUAGGACCAAUAAAAAAAUAACGCUCAUAUGUUACGAGACAACACGUUCCACGGCGACAUAUCCGGGAACUCUAGUGAUAUGGAAAACCUAACUUUCUUCUAGCAUGUGAGCCGCAGAGGUGGGUAAGAAAACCAACCGGUGCGUACAUACACUGGUAUGGUUCCCAAAAUCUCAACACGUGUAAACGAGUGAUGCACAUCGUAUUCGGUUUGGAUUUCGUUCACACGGUAAACGAAAGAAAAACCUGCACCGAGUCUCAGUUUAUAAAACCAAACCGAGCCACUCAGCACCGUUUACAUGUGUGUACGAAUUUCAACUUGUGUUGAUGUAUUCUCAGCAGUGGUUUCGGUUUGGCUUUAGAAAAUCGAGCUUGGUUUUUUUCUGUACACGGUGCUUCGGUUGAAAGAAGAAGCAGUAAAUUCGUCUGCAGUGCUGCCGAAUAGACAACUGGAUUGAGUUCAAUUAGUUGUUGAGAGUCAAUGGGGUAAUAUCGAAAUGGCUGGUUCUGAGCAGUUGUUAAAAGUUCAACAAUUGAGGUUUGUUUCAAUGCUGAACAAUGAAAUGUAGAUAUAUUUGAUUUGGCAAAAUUAUCUAGAGCAUAUAAAUUGAUGUUAAUGUCAAAAUGUUUAAAUUGAAAUUAAAGAAAACAAUGAAAUCAGCGAUGUCAAUAAAAUAACAAAAACAAUAAAAUCAAUUAAAUUAAUGAAAUCAAUAAAAUUAAUGAAAUCAAUAAAAUUAAUGAAAUCAAUUAAGCAUGACUUGAAUCACUUGAAACUUCACAUUAACACUCAAUGUAUUCAAAGUGGCCUGUAUUUAUAUCGCCAAUAGUCGUAUCAAUGAGAUCUAAUCCACGUCUGGUUGCGCUGGUUAGGCGAUUCUCGAAUAAUCUCGAGCACACACUCGCCUUUUGUAUACAUAUAUCCUUAUUAUUACUGCUACGGCGCGCCGUAUUGAUACAUCUAUCCUUGCACAGAGGCAAUUGCGUGUAUGUGUGUGUUAUUCACAUAUGGUAAGCAACUCAGACGCAACUCACGAUUAGGUUCUUAUUUACUGAAUGCUGGUAAUACGCAUUUCUGUUAUUUUUGCUGUUACUGUACAUCGUUUUGAAACAUCUAGAAGGUUUGGUCGCGAACAUUCGAGUUUAGAGAAAACUACCAUUAAAUUAUUCAAUUACAAAAAAAACUUAAUUCAUUGAGAACAGUAACCAACUAACGAAUAACAAAAACACUUUCAUUUUAUAGACCGCCAUUAAAAACUAAGUUUCUUAAAGGAAUAAAUAUUUCCUGCGAUACCAGUCGAUGUGUGUAUGUAAAUCUACUGCAGAACAAUUAAUUUUUUUAAAAAUGUAGCGCAAUAAUUUGAAUAAAAAAAAUUGUUCACAUUGUGUCCAAUCACGAAGUUGUCUGUCUCAUUACAACCGCCAUUUGAACCGCCUAAUUUACGACGCAAUUCAUGUUUCGUUUCCUUGGCAAUAUAUGCCUAUUUAAAUAUGCAUGCUUUUAAAUGCUAAAUCGUUAUGAAAUAACACCAUAUUGGGAUGCAAAAUGACGACGAAUAACAAUUUUUAAUCUCUACACAACUUUUUGAUAUCAAAAAUACCCUUGUUUCAUGAUAUUUUUUACCAUUAAAACGUUAUUGAAUACCAGUAGUAUUGAAUAUAGCUCGCCCUUUCAGAUUUUAAAUGACGGCAGGCAUCAAUUUGCGAUCUUUUGACAUAUUUCUUAUAUUAAAAAUGUCCAUGUCGCGUGAUUCUAGAUGACAGAAUAUCUUGAAUAUACCGUCAUCAUAAAUUUUGAUCUUCUAUCAUAGGUAUAAAAAUAGCGGAGGCUAUUAAAUUUCCUUUUACUUUCGAUUUUUGGGCAGUUUCCCAUACCAAACAUACCCAUAUUGCAAACUUCCUGAUAAUAAAUCAUUAUGAAAAUGUCACAAUAUUGAGUUAAGGAAUGCCAUUUAUGACCACGAACAUAGAUUAUUUGAACAGAAAUAUGUCUGAAGUCAUUUUUUCAAUUACCGAAAAAAUACCCUAUAUUAUAAAGAAAUUUGUUUAGAAUUCUUAAUAACAAUACUAGCAGCACUAGCACUGCCGAUAAACAUCAACCCGAAUACACAACCGCAACACAACCGAAGUUUGGUUUCGUCAUUCUCGUGUUUCCUUCUUAUACUCGUGCACCGGUAAACGAAAAUCAAAACCAAACCACGGUUGUGUGUAAACGAAACUCGGUUUGGUUUUCGUGUCUCGUAUAAACACAACCAGCGAUAAUACCGCACACAAUGUAAAGGAAACAUAAACACUUGUGAAAAUUUGGUUUACCGUACCGGUACUCAACCGGUAUUUUCCCACCUCUGGUGAGCCGUACACCAAAAAUAAAGUAUUGGAUUCACGGUCCGCGCGCGAUCAUUCAAGAACACACGCGAAUGUGCGAAAGGCACACGGUUUUAAAAAACAAUUUAUAUACGCGAAGUUACAUACAAGUUAGCACACGCGACAUACAAACGCACACGCGAUCGAACACGUUAACGUACAAAUGCUCGAGUUCUUCGCGAUGAUACACGCGAUCGCGAAGUCCCUACGCCCGACAUACCUGAACCGUACAAUGAAUAUCACAUUCAGAAUCACGGCUCGCUACAAUUGGUCUAAAGCAGUGUUUUAUUGGGCGCCAUUGCCUGUCUCGUUUGCAAAUUGUAGCAUGUGAUUUUGACGGGGAGCCUUUCCGAGAAUCUAGCUCUACAGCUCCAGUAGGACAACUCUUGAAAAAAAAAGAAUUUAUGCAUGCAAGCACAUGCGACAUAUACAUUAACAUACGAACGCUUACGCCCUUCGCGAUAAUAUACGCACACUUACGUUCGCGAUCUCGCAAACUUGAUAAUAUCGGUGAAUCGGUCUCGUCCGGAAAUCUUUAUCCUCCGUCCUAGCAACUUAGGGGCCGUUCAUAAACGUGGACUCAUAGGGUGGACGGGUGGUCUAGCAAAAAUUUACGUUUGUCUACGAGGGUGGAGAAAUAUGCGUAGAUUUUAAUUUUUUUUUUGUAAUUUUCGUAUUACUAAUGGGAUUUAAAGCGAAUUGGGUUCAACAUACUAGUCGAUCCAGCUAGAUGUAUUUAUGCAGACACUUCGAAGCUAGUACACUAUUGAAGUAACUUCUCUUUAGGCAACCACUCAACCCAGAACCCACAUAAUUGGACAAAGCAACAACCUUUCUUGCGUAUAUUUAGAUAUAGUAAAAUUCAAACUGAUUAACUCGAGUGAUCGCUUUGUUGUAGAAUUCUAGGAAUAACACAAAAUGACAGUUCUAAAGACGAUCUCCCAAAAUUCCUCUCCGUAAAAGAUUUUGACUGUAAAAUCCUGCAGUCGUGAAUUAUCAUCUCAGACACCACUAGCAGACACGCAUGGACCAUUAAAUGUAUGAACCAGUUAAAGUUCAAAAAUGGUCAAAGUUAAGCCACAGAGAACAGACAUCCAUGAUCGAACAAAAAUAUUUUAAAAACGUGUGUAAACAUUUGAAUUAAUAUACGAUAAACACUAGCGCCGCCACCCCAACCUAUCCCAACUAUCCGUCAAAUCCAUUCCGGAACCGGUUCGAAAUCCUGAAUGGAUUCAGUAUGGAAUCUUGCUCAAAGAAAGCAACCGAUUCCGUCUCUAUCGGUUGAUGCAUUUGAGCUGGAAUUCCGAACCGGUUCCGGACUAGUUUCACUGGGUAGAGGAAUAAUCGCUGUCAAUUCUGUCAAACUCAGCCACAAAAAAAAUGACGACAGUAGCGCACCUGGUUUGGAUAUCCCAACUACCUUCGAAACCGUUAGAGAUUUUACACAAGUUGAAUGCUGAAGAUGGACGUCUGUUCUCUGUGGUUAAGCAUUAAAACCACCAUGAUAACAAGGCGAUUUUUGAUUUUGAGGUAGUCUGAUUUUUUUAAUUUUUAAUUUAAUAAUUUCGGUGACUCAAGCUGUGUAGUUAAACUUCUACAACAAAGCGUUCACUCGAGUUGAUCAGUUUGAAAUUUCUUUUGCAAUCGUUUACACUAAUUUCAAAAUCUUGAAACACCCGUUAAAUUUUACGUUUUGACCCGGUGCAAAUCCUGGCAAUCCGAUUCUACUAUAUAAAUAUUCGCAGUUAAGGUUUAAUACUUAGCGAUAAUACUUACUUAGGAAAUAUGACUAUUGAUUACACAAGAAAAAUAGAUAUUUUCGGAAAGAUUUGGAUAGUUUCGUCCCUUUAAUCGAAUAAGACAAUUCAAAUUAUCCCAUUAUCUUAGAAAUAUUGAAAUUUGUUCACGAAAAUUGAAAUUUUGCGUGCAUGUUUAGUUAAAUAUUUCAGUCUAGAUAAUACUUAACAUCGACAGUAUAAUUGCAAAUUGUUAGCUAAAGUUUAUCAAUUUUUACGCUCCACUAAUGCUCAAAAAGUACUUGCUAGCUUAGCAAUCAUGCACUGUUGGUAAAAGUAACAUUUCAGCUAAACUUGAAUUAGUUAUAGCAAUAUAUCUUUUGAAACAUUCUUGUGUGACUUACUUAGAAAAGAAGUAUUUCGCUAUACAAAUAUUUGAAAGCACUUUUAAAUUCACACUUGUAUUAUAUUACAUACUACACGGUGUUCUUAUAAGUCCAACUUAUAGUAUAGUGAAAUCAAAACGGAAACCUUUCUCAAAGCUGUAAGAAAUUUAUAAAAUUCGACAUACAAGUCUUGUAUUUCGGAGAAAAAUAUUUUGAUUUUAUAUUUCCUUAAAUUGAUACUAAUUGAUUUGAGCAGUAGUACACAAAAAACCAAUGUCAAAAGCUUUAUUCAUCAAUGUUUGUUUUUGUUCUUAAUAUUUGAAAAGCUUGAAAGAAAUCUGAACGUCUCAGGUUAAAUUUUUAUUUGACCGUAUAAUGUGCUUCUUGCUAUUUUCAUUUUUUCCACAAAUAAAAAAAUCGAAAAGUCUACUUAGCCUUUAGAGGCGGAGGGGGUUGGCAAAAGUCUACUUAAGUCUACUAGGGAGAGGGGGGUGCUGGGUUCAAAAAAUCUCAAAUUUCGGUCUACGUGGGUCCCUUAACAUCAUACAUUUAGUUGGACCAAUCAAAAAAUAAUGCCCAUAUGAACAACGGAAAAUAAAACUCACAAGGAAAGAAAAUGUUUCAUUAAACCCGCUAUUAGAAUGUAAAGAUCAGAAAUAAACUUCAAGCGUAAGAAUCGGACUGAGAUCCUUCAGCAUAAAAAACGCUAAAAAAGUUGUCAACCGCAAAACUCGACAAGGAUGAACCUCCAGUUUAAAAACCGGUUAAAAUUAAAUAAUUCGUAUGCAAGAGUAUCCGUAUAUCGCGACGUUCAAGAUAAAAAGUCGGCUAAAAAACUACUUUGUAAGAAUCGGUUAAUUUUUCCGGUUUUUAUACUGAAUGUUAUUUAAUCCGACUCUUACAGAGUAGAACCCCAGUUCGAUUUUUAUGCUUGAAGUUUAUAUAAGAAUUUCACAUUCAAACCAUUUGAAGCAGGUUUUACGAAGCAUGUUCUGUCCUUGCGAUUUUAUUUUUGGUCGUUCAUAUCCACUUGACAACACGUUCCAUGGCUACACUAGUGAACUCUAGUGAUAUGGAAAAACUCACUUUCUUCUUGCAUCUGAACCGUACACCAAAAAUUACGUAUCUGAUUCACGGUCCGCGAUCAUCCAAGAACACAUGCGAAUCUGCGAAAGGCACACGGUCAUAAAAUAUAAUUUAUACACGCGAAGUUACAUACACGUUAACAUACGCGACAUAGAAACUCACACGCGAUCGAAAACGUUAAUGUACAAACGCCUAAACCCUUCACUAUGAUACACGCAAUCGCGAACUCCCUACGCCCGCACAUAUCUGAACCGUAAAAUGAAUAUCACAUUCAGAAUCACGGCCCACUGAAAUUGGCCUUAAGUAGUUUAGUGGGUAACAUUUCCCGUCUCGUUUUCAAUUGUAUUGUUGGGAGUCCUGUCGAGACCCUAGCUCUACUGCUCCAGUAGGACAACUCUCGAGAAAAAUGUACUCUGGGUUUUAACUGGAGUGUGCGGCGAAGGGUUACUCCCCCACAUAUCGCACCGCCAUGUCCUAACCCCAACUCGUUAAACCCCCUCAGAUCCCUCUCCACCAGUCCCAUCAGACCCCGAUAAUCUAGGUCAUUCCAAUCUGAUCCCUUAGAUAAAAAGCCAAAACAGUGCACCGUAUUAUUCGUAUAAUCUAUUCAAAUUUAUUCACAGAUUCGUUUUUUUUCAGGUGUUGAACGUGAUCAUGGAAUUCGGUAAUUAUUCGUUUUCGUGACACGUAUUCAGGACUUUUUUUGGUAGAAUUGUUUACACCUGAUCUCCAUGAUAGUCCACCCUGGACACUAAUCCAGACACAUUAACCUUCCCAGAAACCAGUGUCAUGCAAACUCGUUCGAGUCCAAAUGCUUUCCGAGUUUCAAAGUUUUGCGAUCGUCUAAAUAUUUCAAAUUAAUGGUAACGAUAAACUUUGUCGGAUAGAAAAACUUUCAGUAUAGUAAUAGUCUGUAUCACCUGACAAUCUGACUUCCUUGAAUAGCACAAACCGUCGUCUUUUUAUAUCCUUGCAUUAUGGAAACUGUACAAAAGUAAGGACAAUUAGUAGUGGUCGAAAAAUGCAAGUGUUACUCCGGAGCUCCUAUUGAACCACUAAUAAUCUAAUCGUUGCACAAUUAUUUCGUGAUUACUUUGUGUGGAAAUGAACCACAACGGCAGCCGAUACACGUCGUUCGCCUUUGCUAGUGGAGGGAUCGCUGGCAGCGGCGGUGCCCGAGGGGAACUGAGCAGUGGUAAUUUGAGCAGAAAGCUGAGUAGUCCGAUGGCAGAGUCGACACAGCUGGACAGCAGCGGUAUCCGGGGGAAUCUUUACGACAGUCCGGUACGACAUGUUGGAGUUGGGAAAAGAAGCCUACCUCUCCGUUGCAAAAUAGCAGGACAAAUUUUAGAAGCAGCUGAACGGCGUCCGGGUCCAGUAUGGAUCGAUUGAUUGAUCCUAAGAUUUACACGGAUGUUCAGAGCCGAGGAUUGGUUAACCGGUUGGUAAAGAACCACGAUAAAACGCAAUCGCCGUUAAAUAGGAGUCAAUCGAUGACUAGCCUGUACUCGAAGCCGGGUCAAUUUCCUGUGUGGUGGAGGAGAAAUAAUUCUUCGAUAGCUACCAUUGGUUCGGAUUUCCCCGUCAGAGAAGUCCGUGUUUCAGGCUGACACAAGGUGGAACAUUUUACGGGAGGGAUCGUUGCUCAUUCCGGCGGAACCUCAUCUGAAGAUGGUCCGAACACAUAGACACGAGGAUAAGAUUGAUGCGGAAAAUAGUGUGAUUGCGCCUUCAACAGAACUGGAUGCCGAUUGGAUCAAGAAACAAUGUAAGGAACUAUCGGAGGUUGAUUCAGGCGAAGCUGGUACGAAGCAAGCUCGGGAAAUUACAUACACGGCUUCGCACCCGUGUCGAGGGUCGACGAAUCAGCAGCUACAGACGAAGAAAUGUAGUAAAAAUAAUAAGUUCACUUAGCUCGAGCCUGGUGAUGAACACUCCGAAAGUGGAACACGUAGCGCACCGGCCGGCACGAUUAAAUGUGGAUGUCUUUCUCGACGCCGGCAACAUUGGAUGCGACGGUUCCAGUUAGCAUGAUUGAAUCGAGCAAACCGGCAAAAUUAAGUAGGAUUGAUUCCGCUCCUUUGCCACAUAUUACGAGAAUUGUUCCGGAGUUUCAACUGCCUCUGAUGGAAUAUCCGCCACUAAAACUAACGUUGUUUAACAAAAAAUACAACGUCCAUGACAUGAAGAAACGGUGGUUCGACCCACGUCCACAGACAGUGAAGAUAAGGAUGAUGAUGAUAAAGUAGGCGGACGAAUCAGUUUCAUUAAGCCAAAGGAUAAAUCGCCUAUGCCAAGGUUGUUUUGAAGAGGUUCGAGCGCUCGAAAUCAUCGUUGAUUCUGAGCUGCUUGAGUGAUGAUUUUGAUGAAGACGAGGAAUCGCCUAUAGUUACGCCAUCGCAGGGUUCAUUUUAUACGAUAGACACCGCGGAUGCACCACCGAAGGUUGAAGAGAAGAAACGGCUUCCGUCCCGACAAUGAGCGGUAUUUCAGCAAUAGUUAACAGCCCGAUCAAGGAUCCUGGCCUAGGUAACCGAAACCGGUGGAAAAUGUAAAAACGAUAGAGCAACCGAAGUAAACCACGGGAUUUGCUUUCGGAAGUACAACUGCUACCGUCAGCUCGGCUCCGGUUACAGCACAUCAAUCCGAUACAUAAUUUACGUUUGGGACGCCCACUUAACCGUUACUGCUAAAAUCAUAUCAUCGGAAAUACCACGUAUCGUUUUCCUGUGCUUGGAUUUCGGUACGUACGGAAUCGGACGGCGUUUAUGGCCGAUACCAUUUUAUCGGAAAAUAAUGCGAUUCGAGGUAUUAAUCACACGCCUACAUCAAAAAAUUAUAUAAUUUGCAACUAAUAUUUUAAAA